rnacentral:rRNA from 1 species
GCAAUCAUAAGCGAGGAAAAGAAACCAACAGGGAUUGCCUAGUAACGGCGAGUGAAGCGGCAACAGCUCAAAUUUGAAAUCUGGUCCUUUCAGGGCCCGAGUUGUAAUUUGCAGAGGAUGCUUCGGGUACGGGUGCCUACUGAGUUUCCCUGGAACGGGACGCCAUAGAGGGUGAGAGCCCCGUCUAGUAGGAUACCCAGCCCAUGUGAAGCUCCCUCGACGAGUCGAGUAGUUUGGGAAUGCUGCUCUAAUGGGAGGUAUACUCCUUCCAAGGCUAAAUACCGGCUGGAGACCGAUAGCGCACAAGUAGAGUGAUCGAAAGAUGAAAAGCACUUUGAAAAGAGAGUCAAAUAGCACGUGAAAUUGUUGAAAGGGAAGCGCUCGCUACCAGACUUGAGUUAGGCGGUUCAACCGGGGCCACGCCCCGGGGCACUCCACCUGCUCAGGCCAGCAUCAGCUUUCCGUCGGGGGCAAAGGCGUCGGGAAUGUGGCUCUCCUCCGGGAGAGUGUUAUAGCCCGGCGUGUCAUACCCUUCGGGGGGCUGAGGUACGCGCUUCUGCAAGGAUGCUGGCGUAAUGGUAGCUAGUGACCCGUCUUGAAACACGGACCAAGGAGUCAACCUUAUGUGCGAGUGCCCGGGCGUAAAACCCCAGCGCGGAAUGAAAGUGAACGUAGGUGAGAGCUUCGGCGCAUCACCGACCGAUCCUGAUGUCCUCGGACGGAUUUGAGUGAGAGCAUAUAGGGUUGGACCCGAAAGAAGAUGAACUAUGCGUGUGUAGGGUGAAGCCAGAGGAAACUCUGGUGGAGGCUCGCAGCGGUUUCUGACGUGCAAAUCGAUCGUCAAACAUGCGCAUGGGGGCGAAAGACUAAUCGAAUCUUCUGGUAGCUGGGUUUCCGCGA